GAUGAACGCUGGCGGCGUGCCUAAUACAUGCAAGUCGAGCGAACGGACGAGAAGCUUGCUUCUCUGAUGUUAGCGGCGGACGGGUGAGUAACACGUGGAUAACCUACCUAUAAGACUGGGAUAACUUCGGGAAACCGGAGCUAAUACCGGAUAAUAUUUUGCACCGCAUGGUUCAAAAGUGAAAGACGGUCUUGCUGUCACUUAUAGCUGGAUACGCGCUGCAUUAGCUAGUUGGUAAGGUAACGGCUUACCAAGGCAACGAGGCAUAGCCGACCUGCGAGGGGGAUCGGCCACACUGGAACGGAGACACGGUCCAGACUCCUACGGGAGGCAGCAGUAGGGAAUCUUCCGCAGUGGGCGAAAGCCUGACGGAGCAACGCCGCGUGAGAGAUGAAGGUCUUCGGAUCGUAAAACUCUGUUAUGAGGGAAGAACAUAUGUGUAAGUAACUGUGCACAUCUUGACGGUACCUAAUCAGAAAGCCACGGCUAACUACGUG
rnacentral:rRNA from 1 species